CUCGGUGCCGUAGCCGUCCUGGAAGCCGUCCUUCCAGAGCCCGGCGUAGCGCAGGCCGGACACGCUCUCCCACACGCCGCUGCGCCCCUUCAGCCCGCCCAGCCACUCGCCGCGGAUCUGGUCCCUGCUGCCCACCCUCAGCCCCACAUCUUAUUGAAAGAGAACGAAAGCCCAGGAGCGGAAGUCACUCACCAGGGGCCACACAGCAGAGGUGGCAGAGCUAGAAUUGGAACACUAGACUUCAGAUUUUUAUUUUGCUUCAUGCUGGGCAUUGCAUCCUGGAUCUUCAAUAAAGCAUGUGCUCUAUCACUGGACUCAUAGGAGCCCUUCAGUUCCUCCCAGGAGUCUGUGCUCGAGGGCAUCCCCUAAAGUCAAGGGUUACAUUGGGUAAAAUAAAAAGUGUGAAGAUCGGAGUAAAUAGGGA